rnacentral:rRNA from 1 species
AGUCAUAUGCUUGUCUCAAAGAUUAAGCCAUGCAUGUCUCAGUAUAAGCUUCUAUACAGUGAAACUGCGAAUGGCUCAUUAAAACAGUUACAGUUCAUUUGAUGGUUAUUCCUUACAUGGAUAACUGUGGUAAUUCUAGAGCUAAUACAUGCGCCCAAACCUGACUCUGUGGAAGGGUUGUGUUUAUUAGUUACAGAACCAACCCAGGCUCUGCCUGGUCUUGUGGUGAUUCAUAAUAACCGAAUGAAUCGCAUUGCAUCAGCUGGCGAUGAAUCAUUCAAGUUUCUGACCUAUCAGCUUCCGACGGUAGGGUAUUGGCCUACCGUGUAAGGAGCAGCAG